GAUGAACGCUGGCGGCGUGCCUAAUACAUGCGAGUCGAGCGAACGGACGAGAAGCUUGCUUCUCUGAUGUUAGCGGCGGACGGGGGAGUAACACGUGGAUAACCUACCUAUAAGACUGGGAUAACUUCGGGAAACCGGAGCUAAUACCGGAUGAUAUUUUGAACCGCAUGGUUCAAAAGUGAAAGACGGUCUUGCUGUCACUUAUAGAUGGAUCCGCGCUGCAUUAGCUAGUUGGUAAGGUAACGGCUUACCAAGGCAACGAUGCAUAGCCGACCUGAGAGGGUGAUCGGCCACACUGGAACUGAGACACGGUCCAGACUCCUACGGGAGGCAGCAGUAGGGAAUCUUCCGCAAUGGGCGAAAGCCUGACGGAGCAACGCCGCGUGAGUGAUGAAGGUCUUCGGAUCGUAAAACUCUGUUAUUAGGGAAGAACAUAUGUGUAAGUAACUGUGCACAUCUUGACGGUACCUAAUCAGAAAGCCACGGCUAACUACGUG
rnacentral:rRNA from 1 species